rnacentral:rRNA from 1 species
GGAAGUAAAAAAACAAGGUUUCCGUAGGUGAACCUGCGGAAGGAUCAUUACCGUGGGGACUCGUCCCCAUUGAGAUAGCACCCUUUGUUUAUGAGUACCGUUUGUUUCCUCGGUGGGCUUGCCCGCCGCUAGGACCCCCUAAAAACCUUUGUAGUAGCAGUAACUUCAGUUAAACAUAAAAUAUUAAAACUUUCAACAACGGAUCUCUUGGUUCUGGCAUCGAUGAAGAACGCAGCGAAAUGCGAUAAGUAGUGUGAAUUGCAGAAUUCAGUGAAUCAUCGAAUCUUUGAACGCACAUUGCGCCCUUCGGUAUUCCGUUGGGCAUGCCUGUUCGAGCGUCAUUUAAACCUUCAAGCUCUGCUUGGUGUUGGGUGUUUGUUCCGUCUUUGUGCGUGGACUCGCCUCAAAUUUAUUGGCAGCCGGCAAGUUGGCUUCGUGCGCAGCACAUUGCGUUGCGGCUCCAGCCUGCCUCCUCCCAGCAAGCUAUUCUAUCACUUUGACCUCGGAUCAGGUAGGGAUACCCGCUGAACUUAAGCAUAUCAAUAAGCGGAGGA